GGGACGGGGGAACUAGGGGGGCCGCGGGUGCGGGAGGACCUGUGGCAGGACGGCGCUGAGCUGGAGCGAGAUGUGAAGAUUUCCUGCUGGACUUCAUCCCGCUGCUGAGUGGGGAUUUCCUCCCCUGAGACAGAAGACAUAAACUUUGACACCAACCAGGAGAAAAUUAGAGUCUUCCUUGAGAGGUGCAGUGAGUGAGUUUUGAUGCCAGGGUGAUGAAGGGUUUGAAAAUUCUUCCCUGAUCCUAUGUUGUUUGGAGAGUGAUGCUGCCUAGGUGGAGUCUCCAUCCCCGGAGGGAUUUGAAAGGCAA